UACGGAGGGGACUAGCGUUGUUCGGAAUUACUGGGCGUAAAGCGCACGUAGGCGGAUUUGUAAGUCAGGGGUGAAAGCCCGGAGCUCAACUCCGGAAUUGCCUUUAAGACUGCAUCGCUUGAAUCCGGGAGAGGUGAGUGGAAUUCCGAGUGUAGAGGUGAAAUUCGUAGAUAUUCGGAAGAACACCAGUGGCGAAGGCGGCUCACUGGACCGGCAUUGACGCUGAGGUGCGAAAGCGUGGGGAGCAAACAGG
rnacentral:rRNA from 1 species